rnacentral:rRNA from 1 species
CAGUAGCCGCGGUAAAACGAGGGGGGCAAGCGUUGUUCGGAAUUAUUGGGCGUAAAGGGUGCGUAGGCGGCUUGACAAGUCUUGUGUGAAAUCUAUGGGCUCAACCCAUAGUCUGCACGGGAAACUGUCGGGCUUGAGAACGGGAGAGGUGAGUGGAAUUUCCGGUGUAGCGGUGAAAUGCGUAGAUAUCGGAAGGAACACCUGUGGCGAAAGCGGAUCACUGGACCAUUUCUGACGCUGAUGCACGAAAGCUAGGGGAGCAAACAGGAUUAGAUACCCGAGUAGUCCCUGUCUCUUAUAC